rnacentral:rRNA from 1 species
GGUAAGUUCCCACCUGCACGAAUGGCGUAACGACUUCCCCACUGUCUCGACCAGGAGCUCGGCGAAAUUGCAGUACGAGUAAAGAUGCUCGUUAAGCGCAGAAGGACGAAAAGACCCCGGGACCUUUACUAUACCUUGGUAUUGGCAUUCGGUGUGGAUUGUGUAGCAUAGGCGGAAGGCUUCGAAGCCACGGCGCCAGCCGCGGUGGAGCCGCAAGGUGAAAUACCGCUCUGUUCGCAUUGGAUGUCUAACCUCGACCAGUCAUCCUGGUCAGGGACAGUGCCUGGCGGGUAGUUUAACUGGGGCGGUUGCCUCCCAAAGAGUAACGGAGGCGCUCAAAGGUUCCCUCAG